GAUGAACGCUGGCGGCGUGCCUAAUACAUGCAAGUCGAGCGGUAAGGUCCCUCCAGGUUGCUUAAACGAAAGUUUGAGGAACGUGGUGGGAUACACGAGCGGCGGACGGCUGAGUAACGCGUAGGAACGUACCCCAAACUGAGGGAUAAGCACCAGAAAUGGUGUCUAAUACCGCAUGUGAUCUCCGGAUUAAAGCUUCGGCGGUUUGGGAACGGCCUGCGUACGAUUAGAUAGUUGGUAGGGUAAUGGCCUACCAAGUCGACGAUCGUUAGCUGGUCUGAGAGGAUGAUCAGCCAGACUGGGACUGAGAACGGCCCAGACUCCUACGGGAGGCAGCAGUAGGGAAUUUUCCACAAUGGGGGCAACCCUGAUGGAGCAACGCCGCGUGCAGGAUGAAUGCCUUCGGGUUGUAAACUGCUUUUAUAUGUGACGAAUAUGACGGUAGCAUAUGAAUAAGGAUCGGCUAACUCCGUG
rnacentral:rRNA from 1 species